CGUGAGAAUCUACCUUUUAGUGGGGGACAACUCGGGGAAACUCGGGCUAAUACCGCAUAUGUCCUAUGGGAUAAAGCAGGGGACCUUCGGGCCUUGCGCUAAAAGAUGAGCUCGCGUGAGAUUAGCUUGUUGGUGAGGUAAAGGCUCACCAAGGCAACGAUCUCUAGCUGGUCUGAGAGGAUGAUCAGCCACACUGGGACUGAGACACGGCCCAGACUCCUACGGGAGGCAGCAGUGGGGAAUAUUGGACAAUGGGGGCAACCCUGAUCCAGCAAUUCCGCGUGUGUGAAGAAGGCCUGCGGGUUGUAAAGCACUUUCAGUAGCCAAGAUGGGAUUAUUCAUUAAUACUGGAUAGUCUUGACAUUAACUAC
rnacentral:rRNA from 1 species